rnacentral:rRNA from 3 species
GGACUACUCGGGUAUCUAAUCCCGUUCGCUCCCCUGGCUUUCGCGUCUCAGCGUCAGAAAACGUCCAGGAGCUCGCUUUCGCCACGGGCGUUCCUUCCGAUCUCAACGCAUUUCACCGCUCCACCGGAAGUUCCAGCUCCCCCUACGUUCCUCCAGGACGGUCGUAUCGGCGCCUCUUCCCCGGUUGAGCCGGGGGAUUUCAACGACCGACGUGCCGUCCCGCCUACACGCGCUUUAAGCCCAGUGAUUCCGAAUAACGUUCGCACGGUUCGUCUUACCGCGGCGGCUGGCAC